UACGUAGGGGGCAAGCGUUAUCCGGAUUUACUGGGUGUAAAGGGAGCGUAGACGGCAAGGCAAGUCUGAAGUGAAAGCCCGGUGCUUAACGCCGGGACUGCUUUGGAAACUGUUUGGCUGGAGUGCCGGAGAGGUAAGCGGAAUUCCUAGUGUAGCGGUGAAAUGCGUAGAUAUUAGGAAGAACACCAGUGGCGAAAGCGGCUUACUGGACGGUAACUGACGUUGAGGCUCGAAAGCGUGGGGAGCAAACAGG
rnacentral:rRNA from 1 species